GACAGAGGUGCCAAGCGUUAGGCGGAAUCACUGGGCUUAAAGCGUGUGUAGGCGGGCGGGCAAGUACCUUGUGAAAUCCCACGGCUCAACCGUGGAACGGCUGGGUAUACUGCCUGUCUUGAGCCAGCUAGGGGCGACCGGAACAGACGGUGGAGCGGUGAAAUGCGUAGAUAUCGUCUGGAACGCCAAAGGUGAAAACAGGUCGCUGGGGGCUGAGCUGACGCUGAGACACGAAAGCCAGGGGGAGCGAACGGGG
rnacentral:rRNA from 1 species